rnacentral:tRNA from 1 species
GCCACGGUAGUUUAAAUAAAAACAUUAGCCUGUGGUGCUAAAAAUGGAAUAUAAUCCCCGCAGCU